GGGCCCGCACAAGCGGUGGAGCAUGUGGUUUAAUUCGAUGCAACGCGAAAAACCUUACCUACUCUUGACAUCCUUGGAAUACCUUAGCAGUAAGGUAGUGCCUUCGGGAGCCAAGUGACAGGUGCUGCAUGGCUGUCGUCAGCUCGUGUCGUGAGAUGUUGGGUUAAGUCCCGUAACGAGCGAAACCCCUGUUCUUUGUUGCCAGCACGUAAUGGUGGGGACUCUAAGAAGACUGCCGGUGUUAAAUCGGAGGAAGGUGGGGACGAUGUCAAGUCAUCAUGGCCCUUACGAGUAGGGCUACACACGUGCUACAAUGGGCAGUACAGAGGGUUGCAAAGCCGCGAGGCCAAGCUAAUCUCAGAAAGCUGCUCUCAGUCCGGAUUGGAGUCUGCAACUCGACUCCAUGAAGUCGGAAUCGCUAGUAA
rnacentral:rRNA from 1 species